AAUAACGAGCAUGAAGUGCUUCCUAAACCUUUAAGGACCUCAAAAAACAAAACAAAACAAAACUUUCAACAAGCAGAUGUAGAAAAUUUAAAUUAUAUUUGGCCUACAAGUAAAGGUUACUCCAUGCUUCCCUACCUCAAAUGUCACUCUCUCUGGUACUGAGAAAAUCUGUGUCGCCUGUUAUAAGGCAGUCUACACAAGACCAACACGCUAACCCACUGCCAGCUCAGGGUUAUCAAACAUUUACACAGUGGCCCAGACAAAAAUACCCCACGGAAACAAAACAAAAACAAACAAACAAAAACCCAGAGAGAAAAACCACCCUUUAAAGAUUUGGCCUUGGGUUUUAAAUUUGCCCAUCCUUUUUUAACACUAUGUAUUGACAAUCUUUCCUUCAAUGAUGCCUUGUUCUAAUUUCUGUUUUUCACAUCCAUUAAUGGCACAUGAUAGGCCAGGGGUUGCUGCCAUAGCGUAAACGGAAAAGGUGCCUGUAAUCCGGGUGUGUAAUGUACUGGGCCAUAUUCUGGUCCCCAGUUUUCAUGGGUUUCCCAUGGUAGGCUACCCACUGGCUUAGGAGUAUUUCUAGCCCUUAGUGGAGUAAAAAUAUUAACACCUAACACUUGAUUCCCACCUUUAAGAUACAAUUUAAAGAAAUGCUAAAAAGGCAAACGGCUCAAAAUGCCUCCACCAGGCACCUCCAGGCCCACACCGUGCGGGUCCCUAUGGCCCACUCUGGGGUGUCCUUCCAGUGUUCGACACUCCCCGGCCCACGGCCCUGCCGGCCUCCACGGGGCACAACUCAACCCGCGAGUCCACGCGGGACACUCCCCGGUCUACAGCCCCACCGGCCUCCUCCACGCGGCACCCCUUAACCCGGGAGUCCACGCGGGCCACUCCCCGGCCCACCGCCCCGCCUGCCCCCACGCGGCAGGCUCCCUGCAGACGGACGCUCCUCUAACCCGGACCCGCCUAGGAGCUCCAGCCGCCUCACGAAGCCUUCAGAGGCCGGGCGGGAGCAUCUCUGGAGGACCGCGGGCUCAGCGCCCGCCCCGCCUGGGCCUCUCGCCUCGGGCCUCGGCGCCCACCCGGAGAGGCCCACCCCUGCCCCACGCGCCCAGGCCGCUUCACGUCCUCACCCUCGGCCUCUCGCUCGCCCGCCGCGUCCUCAUCUAUUAUCAAAAGUAUCUAUUUAGAUUUGGGUAGUAAAACCAAAGGGGAUCAGAAGUGUAGCAGUGUGGGUCCUCCCUCCCUGCAUAGCUGUUACCAGGAGGCAGUGUGCCUGAAGUACUUUCACUCACAUAUGCGGGGCUUAGUCACUAGCAAACUUGUUUUUCUUUUUUACAGAUUUUCCAGCAAAGUUAUUAAAUAUCAAACUCAAAUAAUGGACUCCGCAUGGAUGCACUCUGAAGUCAUGGAACACUUCUUCUUAGUUACCUUCACACAAUAAGCCAUAACAUAUAGCUUUCGGCUGUUCACAAUUAAGCAACAGUGAAGGCAAAGUUAGCAAGAACACCAGAUUAUUUUCUGUAGCACACCUUCAUUAACUAUUAUUAUUUAACUGCCUUAUUUUAUGCUUUUUAUAGCCCCCACAAAAACGAAAAAACCCUGUCUCAUCCUCAGAUUAAGCAUUUUCUCCAUCUCCCUACACAACCAUUGUCUCCUUUCAUCUGUCAAUUUCUGGGGUUGAAUUUCCCAACUUCAGUAGAAAUGAUAAAAAAGGCAACC
rnacentral:lncRNA from 1 species